rnacentral:rRNA from 1 species
UACGUAGGGUGCGAGCGUUAAUCGGAAUUACUGGGCGUAAAGCGUGCGCAGGCGGUUGUGCAAGACAGAGGUGAAAUCCCCGGGCUUAACCUGGGAAUGGCCUUUGUGACUGCACGGCUAGAGUGUGUCAGAGGGGGGUAGAAUUCCACGUGUAGCAGUGAAAUGCGUAGAGAUGUGGAGGAAUACCGAUGGCGAAGGCAGCCCCCUGGGAUAACACUGACGCUCAGGCACGAAAGCGUGGGGAGCAAACAGG